UCUGGUUGAUCCUGCCAGUAGUCAUACGCUUGUCUCAAAGAUUAAGCCAUGCAUGUCUAAGUAUAAAGGUUACAUACAAUGAAACUGCGAAUGGCUCAUUCAAACAGUUAUAGUUUAUUUGGAUUUACACAUUAGUUAAAUGGAUAACCGUAGUAAUUCUAGGGCUAAUACAUGCGUUACGGGGGACUUUACGGAACCCCAGUAUUUAUUAGAUUCAAACCAAUAUUCCGAAGGUCUACUUGAGAUGAUUCAUGAUAACUGAUCGAAUUGCUGGUCUACCGGCAAUAAGUCAUUCAUGUUUCUGCUUCCCAUCAGCUUGAUGGUAGUGUAUUGGACAACCAUGGCAUUCACGGGCUAUCGGGGGAUUAGGGUUCGAUUCCGGAGAGGGAGCCUGAGAAACGGCUACCACUUCUACGGAAGGCAGCAGGCGCGAAAAUUAUCCAAUCCUGAUUCAGGGAGGUAGUGAAACAAAUAAUGAACUAGGAUUUAUCCUGGGGUCACAAUGGGCUUGAUUUGCAAACUUUAUUUAGCGAGGAACAAUUGGAGGGCAAGUCUGGUGCCAGCAGCCGCGGUAAUUCCAGCUCCAAUAGUGUAUAUUAAUGUUCCUGCAGUUAUUCGAUGCUCGUAGUUGGAUUUCUGGAGGCUGAGAUCGGAGGGUAGCCAAGGUUACCGCUGAACUCUUCCUUCAUCCACCUGUUAACGUUGUCCGGGAUUCGUUUCUCGGCUUCGGGCUCAGGCAUAUACUUUUACCCUUUUUCUAUAUUUAUUGUUUUGAGUAAAUUAUAGUGUUUCAGGCAGGCGUGCGCCGGAAUACUUUAGCAUGGAAUAAUCGAAUUGGACCGUGUAUUCUUAUUGAAUUCUUCCUUAUUGUUGGUUCAAGGACACGGAAAUGGUUAAUAGGGAUAGUGUUUUUAUUAUCAGGGGAGGCAUUAGUAUUUAAUUUCCAGAGGUGAAAUUCUUUGAAAUAUUAAAGACUAACUUAUGCGAAAGCAUUUAUUAUUGCCAAUAAUGUUUUCAUUAAUCAUUGAACGAAAGUUAGGGGAUCAAAGACGAUCAGAUACCGUCCUAGUCUUAACCAUAAACGUUGCCGACUAGGGAUCGGAGGGCGUGCACAUUCCGCCUUCGGCACCUUACGAGAAAUCAAAGUCUUUUGGGUUCUGGGGGUAGUAUGGUCGCAAGGCUGAAACUUAAAGGAAUUGACGGAAGGGCACCACCAGGAGUGGAGCUUGCGGCUCAAUUUGACUCAACACGGGAAAUCUUACCAGGUCCAGACAUAGCGAGGAUUGACAGAUUGAUAGCUCUUUCUUGAUUCUAUGGGUAUUUUAUAUAUAUUUUGGUGGUGCAUGGCCGUUCUUAGUUGGUGGAGUGAUUUGUCUGGUUAAUUCCGUUAAACGAACGAGACCUCAGCCUGCUAAAUAGUUACCUGUCUUUUCAUCUUUUAUAAUUACGAGACUUGCUAACUUCUUAGAGGGACGUUGUGUGCAACCACAAGGAAGUUGAGGCAAUAACAGGUCUGUGAUGCCCUUAGAUGUCCUGGGCCGCACGCGUGCUACGCUGAUAC
rnacentral:rRNA from 1 species